rnacentral:rRNA from 1 species
GAAUUUUAUAAUUUGAAUAAAUUAUUAAUAUUUGAAUUAUUUAGUUGGGAGGAUUGAUAAAUUAAAUAAACUUUAUUAUUAUAUAACAUUAAUGUAUGAAUAAUAGAAUAAAUUAAUAUGUAAAAUAGAAUUAAUUACCUUAGGGAUAACAGCAUAAAAUUAUUUUUUAGAUCAUAUAAAUAAUAGUUAAUGU